rnacentral:rRNA from 1 species
CGCCCUUAGAGUUUGAUCAUGGCUCAGAUUGAACGCUGGCGGCAGGCCUAACACAUGCAAGUCGGACGGUAAGAGAGCUUGCUCUCGACGAGUGGCGGACGGGUGAGUAAUGUCUGGGAAACUGCCCGAUGGAGGGGGAUAACUACUGGAAACGGUAGCUAAUACCGCAUAACGUCGCAAGACCAAAGUGGUUCGUCACACCAUCGGAUGUGCCCAGAUGGGAUUAGCUAGUAGGUGGGGUAACGGCUCACCUAGGCGACGAUCCCUAGCUGGUCUGAUAGGAUGACCAGCCACACUGGAACUGAGACACGGUCCAGACUCCUACGGGAGGCAGCAGUGGGGAAUAUUGCACAAUGGGCGCAAGCCUGAUGCAGCCAUGCCGCGUGUAUGAAGAAGGCCUUCGGGUUGUAAAGUACUUUCAGCGGGGAGGAAGGGGGCGAAGUAAUCUUCGUUCUUGACGUUACCCGCAGAAGAAGCACCGGCUAACUCCGUGCCAGCAGCCGCGGUGAUACGGAGGGUGCAAGCGUUAAUCGGAAUUACUGGGGCGG